rnacentral:pre_miRNA from 1 species
UCAACCCAUUUAACCUUCUAACCCAUCAAAUUAAAUGAGUUUAUGGGUUGACUCAACUCAUUUAAGCAAAUGAGUUGAGUCAACCCAUGAACUCAUUUAACUCUAAACUCAUUGGGUAAUGAGU